UACGAAGGGGGCUAGCGUUGUUCGGAAUUACUGGGCGUAAAGCGCACGUAGGCGGAUAUUUAAGUCAGGGGUGAAAUCCUGGAGCUCAACUCCAGAACUGCCUUUGAUACUGGCGAUCUCGAGUCCGGGAGAGGUGAGUGGAACUGCGAGUGUAGAGGUGAAAUUCGUAGAUAUUCGCAAGAACACCAGUGGCGAAGGCGGCUCACUGGCCCGGUACUGACGCUGAGGCACGAAAGCGUGGGGAGCAAACAGG
rnacentral:rRNA from 1 species